UAAGUGUAAAAGAAGAAAAAUAAUAAAGACAACGAGUUAAUAGGCCUUGCACCAGCUAUUUAAUAAAGAGUUCGUAACAGUUCACUCGAUAAACUAUUAUUCUUCCAAAAUUUUGGUGGCUUAAAAAAGAAAAGGAGGAAUCCUGAGGAUUUUUCCGAAGUUUAGGAACCCGCUUCGUCGGGUUCCUAAAAUUCCGAAACUAUGAAAAAAAACCCCGAGACGGGGCGCCAACGGCGCCGGGACCUUUGGGUCCCCCGUUUUUGGGCUUUUGAAUUGGUAGCAGAACGUAUAGUAAAAAAAAAAUCGAAAACGAAAAAUCUAUAGUGAUAAUGCGAACAUGAGUAACGAGGGAUCCGAUGGAUCCGGGCCUAAGGUUUCCAAAAAGGGCGGGAGAAAAAUAUAUCUUUGCCCUUAGGGUGAACCAGUCCCUAAUAACUAAAUGAGAGUAACAAAGGGGGAUCCUACGGAUCGGUAGCCCCCCUUUUUUUUUCAUUUUUUGAUGGGGUUUAAAUCUAAAAUACUGAUUAAUAGCCCAGGAAAUAAUUAGAAUUAUUAUGACUGUACUAAAAUCUAACAAAAGUGGGCAAAAAAAAAAGGAGAAUUAUUAUUAAGGAACUCGGCAAGUUACACGUGUAAGAUUUCGAGAAACGUGAAAAACCCUUUAUGAGAAGGAAGCUUCCUAAAGAGUUUAUCUAAGAUAAAAGGGAGCCUCGCCUGUUUACCAAAAACAUAGUUUUCAGCUAUUUACGCAAAAGCUUCGUAUUGAAAAUGAUGCCUGCCCAAUGAUUGUAUCUGAAAGGAAAGAAGGGGGAGGGAUCCAUCGGAUCCCUCCGUUUUGCUUAGCUUUCUAUAAGGACAAUUGAAUGGCCGCGGUAACUCUGACCGUGAUAAUGUAGCGAAAUCACUAGCCAGUUAAUUGCUGGCCUGUAUGAAUGGCUAAACGAGGGCUCCACUGUCUCAAUAAUAAACCUAGUGAAAUUGAAACGGUGGCGAAGCUGCCACCUAUGAAUUCUAAGACGAGAAGACCCCAUUGAGCUUUACUAUUAACUUGUAUUGCCAGAGCGCGAGCAAAUAAGCAAAAAGAUUAGAAGGGGAUCCGAAGGAUCCCCUUGCUUCAUAAUAAAAUUGUGUAGACUAAGUGGGAAAAAGAUAAAACAAGGGAUUUAAAAGAAUCCCGGGGCGCGGGAAGGGGGUGCCAAUGGCGUGGUUUUCCCCCCCGCCCCGGGUCCCGAUUUAUAUGAAAAACCACUCUUUUUAUUAAGAUUACUGUCUACAACCGUACAAGUAAGAUAGUUUGGUUGGGGCGACCGCCUUCGAAAAAGUAUCGAAGGCGCACAUAAGAUUAGUCCGGAGGGGGGUCCGAAGGCCCUCCCGGGGGUAAUGCCCCAAAGAAAAGAUUAGUUUGACUGAGAGGGCUACAACCCGAACAGGCGCUAUUAAAAAGGGAUAAAAAGUCUUUUUGCGGGUCAUAGUGAUCCGUUGUUAUAUUGUGGGAUUGACAACGAUCAACGAAGAAAAGUUACCAUGGGGAUAACAGCGUAAUAUCGUUUAAGAGUACCUAUCGCUGACGAUGUUUGCGACCUCGAUGUUGAAUUGUGAUAUCCUGGAGGUGCAGCAGCUUCCAAGGGUUGGACUGUUCGUCCAUUAAAAUCAUACAUGAUUUGAGUUCU
rnacentral:rRNA from 1 species